GUUAUUUUGGCAGAAUAGUGCGAUAGAUUUAGGAUCUUUUUAUGUAAAUUUUACAAAUAAUA
rnacentral:tRNA from 1 species